GCCAAAUUCACUUUUACUUAUUUGGCAUCGGUGCUCUCCGUUGCCCAAUCGGUGCCAAGAAAAAAUCGUGGCAACCUGAACAACUAGUUGCUCCGAUGCCCGAACUCUGUCCAAAAUAAAAUACUAAUUUUGCACGACCGACAACUCCGUCUUCCUCCUUGCACCAGUACUGCUUCAGCUCUGCCCAACACCUCGCCCCGCAUCGAGCUGACUCCCGCCAUCUCGGAGCAGCCACAUCGGACUGCCGCGUCUCGGCCGCCUAGAGACCUCGCCGACGCCGCGCAUCGCUUCCGCACAGAACUUGAGGGAGGCCGCGCACAUCGCCAUCGGACGCCGCGCCUCGGCUUCGCCCAGCACCUCGCCCCCUAUCGAUCUGCCUCGGAGCUGCUGCUGUUGCUGCUGCGAACGCCUCAUCGCCGUCGCAUAGACUUAGCCUGUUGCCUCCACAUCGAGCUCCCUCGCUGAUGACUCGCAGCCGCUACAUCGAACUGCAUCGGAGCCGCCGCAUCGAGCUGCCUGCCUGCCUCAUCGCCGUGUGCUCGGUCCGAGUCCACCUGAUGUUGAAUCGGGAAGAAAUGGAAAGAAACGAGAGAAAAUGUAUGAGAUUUGUUGGAUCUUUCUCCGAGAAGAAAGGGGAUUCAUUUCUCCCCGCGGGUGACCGGGAAGAACUCGCGGGAAGGAAGUAGCUGGAAG
rnacentral:lncRNA from 1 species